CUGAUUUCGAGGCCAGCCUGGUUUACAGAGUGAGUUCCAGGGCAGCCAGGACUGCACAGAGAAACCCUGUUUAGGAAAACAAACAGAUGUCAGUCCCAAGCUUUGCCCUUUGUGACGACUACUUCAUUUUGUCCUCACAGCAAAACCAGAAAUGAGAAGCCUCAGUGAGAUUCCCCAUUUUACAGUGAGAAACAAGCACGGUGUGUGCACUCUGUACAUCGGAAACCAGAGCCUGAAGUUGAACUUGGGUCCUUUCCAGCCUUUCCUGCCCCAGACUCCAGGAACUUGCCCAACUCUCUGCCACAUUCCUGGCAUGGCUGUUGCAGAACUUCCGGUGGCCUUGUAAGAACAGGAUCACUCUUUGGCCACCUGGCCCUUGGAAUUCCAACAUUGCUCUGUGAAAGCUGGGGAGACUGACACCUACAGAACAAAGCUACCUGAUACUAAGGGGUAAGAUGGGCUUUGAACUCAAGCCUAAACUGAUUCCAGAACUCAUACUCACAUAUCCAUUCAUCAUCAUUUUAAUUAUUAAUAAUUAUUAAUUAAGAAUAAUAAUUAUUGUAUUCCAGGCUGGCCUCAAAUCCACUAUGCAGCCAGGGAUGACUGAACCUCUGACCUCCAGCCCCAGCUCC
rnacentral:lncRNA from 1 species